UCAUGUUGGUCAGGUGCCUUUGCCGCCAUCCUGAUUGAAAGAUAGUGCAUGCUUCCCCUAAAGAGACUUAGUGGUUUUAAUAUCAGAAGAAAAUGCGCAAAAGAAACCUGGCGACUUUGAAGAAGACAGGGUCAUCAUGGAACACAGAUUAUGGGGGAGGGUCGGGAGGGCUACAAAGCAAACUUUGUGCCUUUGACCGAUUUCUUGAGAAGAGUGGUUAUUCGUAGCAUAUGGUUCUGUCAACUCGACUAUACUCAAAAGUACCUUCAAAAAACCGCUAUUUUUGUCUUAAGAUUGGCCAAUUCUCUCUGAAAACACAGAGUAUUGAGUAAACUCACAAGUUAAGGUUCAGACUAGAUACACACAGAAGAUUUAACACAGAAAAGACAUCCCGUAUAGAUUUAAAUUUGUUGAAACAGUUGGAGCUGGUUGCCUAAAUAACUCCUACAACCUUUGUUUUGGGUUGUAUGUACGAAAACAAUCUAGAACACACAAAACUAAGUCUUAACAAUAGAUCCAGGCGAGAAAAAAAAAACUCCUGAGAAGCAGUUCUUAAAACUCUUUCCAGAUUCAAGACCUAAAUAUUAGAAUUACAUAUUUCAAGUCCUUUAAAAAAGAUUCCAACGUUAAAUAAAAACUGAUCCGUAAAUUUGUGAA